rnacentral:rRNA from 1 species
UACAUGGCAGGUCGAACGAACUCUGGUAUUGAUUGGUGCUUGCAUCAUGAUUUACAUUUGAGUGAGUGGCGAACUGGUGAGUAACACGUGGGAAACCUGCCCAGAAGCGGGGGAUAACACCUGGAAACAGAUGCUAAUACCGCAUAACAACUUGGACCGCAUGGUCCGAGUUUGAAAGAUGGCUUCGGCUAUCACUUUUGGAUGGUCCCGCGGCGUAUUAGCUAGAUGGUGGGGUAACGGCUCACCAUGGCAAUGAUACGUAGCCGACCUGAGAGGGUAAUCGGCCACAUUGGGACUGAGACACGGCCCAAACUCCUACGGGAGGCAGCAGUAGGGAAUCUUCCACAAUGGACGAAAGUCUGAUGGAGCAACGCCGCGUGAGUGAAGAAGGGUUUCGGCUCGUAAAACUCUGUUGUUAAAGAAGAACAUAUCUGAGAGUAACUGUUCAGGUAUUGACGGUAUUUAACCAGAAAGCCACGGCUAACUACGUGCCAGCAGCCGCGGUAAUACGUAGGUGGCAAGCGUUGUCCGGAUUUAUUGGGCGUAAAGCGAGCGCAGGCGGUUUUUUAAGUCUGAUGUGAAAGCCUUCGGCUCAACCGAAGAAGUGCAUCGGAAACUGGGAAACUUGAGUGCAGAAGAGGACAGUGGAACUCCAUGUGUAGCGGUGAAAUGCGUAGAUAUAUGGAAGAACACCAGUGGCGAAGGCGGCUGUCUGGUCUGUAACUGACGCUGAGGCUCGAAAGUAUGGGUAGCAACAGGAUUAGAUACCCUGGUAGUCCAUACCGUAAACGAUGAAUGCUAAGUGUUGGAGGGUUUCCGCCCUUCAGUGCUGCAGCUAACGCAUUAAGCAUUCCGCCUGGGGAGUACGGCCGCAAGGCUGAAACUCAAAGGAAUUGACGGGGGCCCGCACAAGCGGUGGAGCAUGUGGUUUAAUUCGAAGCUACGCGAAGAACCUUACCAGGUCUUGACAUACUAUGCAAAUCUAAGAGAUUAGACGUUCCCUUCGGGGACAUGGAUACAGGUGGUGCAUGGUUGUCGUCAGCUCGUGUCGUGAGAUGUUGGGUUAAGUCCCGCAACGAGCGCAACCCUUAUUAUCAGUUGCCAGCAUUAAGUUGGGCACUCUGGUGAGACUGCCGGUGACAAACCGGAGGAAGGUGGGGAUGACGUCAAAUCAUCAUGCCCCUUAUGACCUGGGCUACACACGUGCUACAAUGGAUGGUACAACGAGUUGCGAACUCGCGAGAGUAAGCUAAUCUCUUAAAGCCAUUCUCAGUUCGGAUUGUAGGCUGCAACUCGCCUACAUGAAGUCGGAAUCGCUAGUAAUCGCGGAUCAGCAUGCCGCGGUGAAUACGUUCCCGGGCCUUGUACACACCGCCCGUCACACCAUGAGAGUUUGUAACACCCAAAGUCGGUGGGGUAACCUUUUUAGGAACGCAAGACCAA